rnacentral:rRNA from 1 species
UACGUAGGGUGCAAGCGUUGUCCGGAAUUAUUGGGCGUAAAGAGCUCGUAGGCGGUCUGUCGCGUCGGCUGUGAAAACCCGGGGCUCAACCCCGGGCCUGCAGUCGAUACGGGCAUCACUUGAGUUCGGCAGGGGAGACUGGAAUUCCUGGUGUAGCGGUGAAAUGCGCAGAUAUCAGGAGGAACACCGGUGGCGAAGGCGGUUCUCUGGGCCUUACCUGACGCUGAGGAGCGAAAGCUAGGGGAGCGAACGGG